UAGUUUAAAAAUAUCUUUUAUUGAACCCAAGCUCAGAAUGUGGAGUGUGCUCUUGAUGAUUUAAUAGUGCAGUGAAAGCCCAGCGCUGCAGGAGAAGAUCAACAUCUGCUUCUACAAACCGCAUCUUUAGCCCCGCCCACUGAUACUCACUUAGAAGAGGAAAUACGCUUUCUUCCGCACUGUUUAUAUUUCAUCUAGAGUCAGUGGAUGUCAAACGGUUCAGAUCCAUCAUGGAUCACACAUCUGGAGCUGAAGAUUUGUUUCCAGGAUUCAGGAUGAGUCUGAGCCAGAGCUUCAUGGUGUUGCAGUAGGCGUCCUUACUGUCAUCAGUGACCAUGACACAAGUCCAGUUCACUAACAGCCUGUGAGAAUCUCUGUCAUCACUGAAAGUGAGGCCGUCGUCUGCCUCCCCAGAAUUGGCAAUGCCUUCUUGGUAAUCACUACACCUCAAUUAUCCCAAAGCACUGACCAACACUUUUGAAUUCACUCAGAAGAUUUUACUUUGUCUGGAAAGUGGUAAAUUGUCAGCCAGGUUGCAGACCCUCAAGAAUGACUUGAUGUAGAAACUCAUCUGAAAGAAAUCUGCAGGGUAAAGCAUUAUAAAAGGCUAGUUCAAAGUUAUCUCCUUUUGUCUAAGAAAUGACUCAAAAACUUACUGCACGUUCAGCCAAUAGGCCCAAACUACACAAUAUGCCUUU
rnacentral:lncRNA from 1 species